GCCAAGAAGAGAUCAAACAUACAUACAGUGUAGAAAAGAGAUAAGUAUCUUGGCAUGGCGUUUACCAAGAGGAACACAGGCGUGGUGUGCUUGGCCGCCCUCAUGGUGGUGAUGGCCACUGUGAUGCUGUUCUGUGAUGCCGAAUCAGAUAUCUGCUUUGAUAUCCCCGGACCAUGCGUGCAGUCGUUAUGCAAGGAAGCAUGUGCCAAAAACAAUACCCCAAAUAGACCCCGCUGCCAGCCCGUGACUGAUGAAUGCUGUUGCGACAUGGCCGCACGGCCCGAGGUCGCCGACGACGUCGUCCGUCAUGCUUGAUAGCAUAGCCUUGAUUCAUUAUUGGACACACAUUGUGGGGUGAUCAGGACAUGUAUGUAUAUGCAUGCGUGCGUCUCAGCAAUUGCAUUUUGAAUAACAAGAAAACACAAAAGAGUGCAUCAUUGUUCUGA